rnacentral:rRNA from 1 species
UGGGGANUUNCGCAUGGNCGAAAGNCUGACGCAGCAACGCCCGCCGUGAGUGAUGAAGGUUUUCGGACUGUAAANCUCUGUUGUNUAGGACGAAAGUGCCUGUUGCCAACAGUUACAGGUNUUGACGGUACUAAACGAGGAAGCCACGGGCUAACUACGUGCCAGCAGCCGCGGUAAUA